AAAUUCUGAAGACAGUGCUGUAAGGAUUGCCCUGUGGUUACCUCCUCUCAGCGUCACCUUUAUCAAGCAUCUGGUUCAAGGGGACUCAGACCCAUAUGUAAGCCCCCGGGCUCCCAGAAGGAAAGGAGUGACUCACGCACGUCUGAGCCAAGCACGAUCUGGGCAGUCCUUCGGCAAACUCAGUGGCUGCCAGUCAAUGGGGAUCCAGAGAAUGUCAGUCCCGGCUUCCGAGCCCAGCAUCUCUGGGUGUCAGGCCAAGCUAUGCAGUGGUUUGUGCCCGAAGCCAAAUGACACUCAGCGUGAUAGCCACGGGACCCCACGGCUCUCGUCCUGUGUGAGUUCUCGAGUCAUGGAAAACCGCAGGAGUGUCCUCGGGAGCCUGGAGUGAGAUCCGGGGUCCAAGACUGCAGCUCCCAGUGUAGACGUGGCAGCCUCCAGAAACCGCUGCGUCGUGCUGAAGUGCUGCAGGGGUUGGACAGACGGAGCAGGAGGACCUUUCAGGCCCACACGAGCAGCCAGAUGGAAGGCACCCGCUACUUUGGAGAAGACCUGUCACAGCAGACCCAGAGAAGUGACACAUCCAAGUUUUGGCAUUAGAGUGUCAAAAGAUCAGAAUCUACACCGUCUUUCAAUCAAAUCAAACCUUGCACUUAGAUGGUCCCAGUCUCUAGAAACUGCCCUUCUCUCUUGCCCCAUGGCACCUUCCUCACAGCUCUUUCAGCACUCAACGGCUUUCUAUAUUCCACUGGAAUUUAGAUCCAUCCCCUGGUUCGGUGGCAAGCUCCUUUGGAGGACCAAAGAAAUCCUGCUCUGCGGCAUGUGUUUAUCCAGGCAUCCUAUCAUUCAAAAAAAUGCACCAUCCAGGAUUCAGAAAACAGAAACCACACUAGGUAUGUCAAACAGAGAGGAUUUAACACGAGGAGCUGGCAAACUGACAGAGCAAUGGGAAAUCAGUAUCACGCGGAGACAUGACCAGAUAAAACACGCAGUAAGUAGCCACCUCUACGGGGUCAGAGAGCAAGAGGGAAGUGGUGGGAAGCCCAGAGGACCAGACCCCUGAGCCGGGCCCCGCCGGCCACUGUGUGUGUCUGAGGAGCCAUGAAGAGGCAAGCUCGGGAGCGAGGAAGAGGGUGGAGAUGGAUCCUGUUGCUGCCGCUGGAGCAAUGCAGAUGAGGAGCCAGAGAGAUGGAGAAUUACGUUCUUUUCUCUCCUCCCACCUUCCUGUCUCCCUCCCGUGCCUCCCCUUGGUGCAACUCAACAGGAAGCCAGGGAUGCAGCAGUCCGGGAGUGCAGUUCACAGACUCCAGCCCAGCAUCAGAGAACAGAGCAGAGAAGGGUUUCUUUGGGGCUGAGAACUGGUAAGCAAGUAACCACCAUAAUAAGUAUUUAUGGAGCUUCUACUCAGGGCUCAGUUCUCUGCUCAGGGUCACGUUCAUUGCCACAAGUCCUUAUCCCAAAUUUUUCUUUGACCUAACAUUUCGUAAGGAAGGGAGUGCAUCUUUCUUCCAAUAUUGAAACUUGGGGUGCACGCGCAUGGCAUAGCACAAUACGUGAUCAGUUUGGGGUCUCCACUACUCCUGGAUUCUGCUAUCGUCUCUGCUCCUUGUUAACCGGCUGGCCCAAUCUGGUAACGAGACUUCUCUGAGCUGUCUCCUCUUCCCCUAAAAAUGCUGUGCUUCCUCUCUGAAAGAAAAGACCAAAAGAAAUACACAAAAGCAUGUUUCCCAAGUUGGCUGAGUUAGACCUGCCUUGCUGGACACACGGAGCCAGAGACUCUGAGGCGGAACAUUUACUCUGGUGACCCAGAAAUCGCCGGAGUGCGGCUGAACCGCCUGCCGUCAGACAGGACCCCAGCCCCUGCGGCGCCGGAUUCCAUACACUUUGCCCAGACAGGAAUUGAGGCAGGUGCUGCCUUUGGUUCCCAAGUUUGCCGAAGAUCAAGUAUCAUCCAACAGCAAUAGAUAAUUCUUACUGAAUAGAAGAGAAAGGAAAGAGACAGCCAGGUAUCUUUAUGGUUUACACAGUCACCGGAAAUCUGUCACAGAUGUGUCAUUUUAUGCCGCAGUUUCUGCAGCAGGGAAACGAAGAGCAAAGAAAUUAGAAUAAAACAAACAGGCUUAUGGAAUAGUGCCCAGCUCCAUUAUGGAUCUUAGUUCAUU